rnacentral:rRNA from 1 species
AAUAUUGCACAAUGGGCGAAAGCCUGAUGCAGAAACGCAGUGUGAGUGAUGAAGGCCUUCGGGUCGUAAAGCUCUUUGAUCAGGGAAGAAAAUGACAGUACCUGAAAAACAAGCAACGGCUCACUACGUGACAGCAACCGCGGUAAUACGUAGGUGGCGAGCGGUGUCCGGAAUUACUGGGCGUAAAGGAUGCGUAGGGUGAUAUUUAAGCGGGAUGUGAAAUCCCCGGGCUCAACCCGGGAACUGCAUUCCAAACUGGGUAUCUAGAGUGCAGGAGAGGAAAGCGGAAUUCCUAGUGUAGCGGUGAAAUGCGUAGAUAUUAGGAGGAACACCAGUGGCGAAGGCGGCUUUCUGGACUGUAACUGACACUGAGGCAUGAAAGCGUGGGUAGCAAACAGG